UAAUUUUUUUAGUAGUUACUUACCGUUAAUUUUUUAUGGACAAUUGAUCUUUAAAGAAAUAUUAAGUACAGUUUCAGAUUACACAAUAAAUAUAGUUGCGGGUAUUACGUUGCUACUAUCCUCUAUCGUAACUGGUUGUUUUGUCGAUAGACUAGGUCGUAAACUAAUAAUUCUCGUAUCAGGUAUCAUCGUUGGCAUUUGUGAUUUAACGAUUAGCUCUUAUUUUUAUGCCAAGGAUUUUUUUAACAUUGACGUAUCAUCGUAUUUUCUUAUACCAAUAAUAGCAUCUAUUUCAUCAAUCUUCUUCUGUAAUUUAGGUUUCUGUAGUAUUUUGUCGAUCAUGAUGUCUGAGGUCUUCGCUGCGGAAGUCAAAGUACUUAGUACAUGUAUUCUCGGUAUCAUUGGUGGUAUACUUGCAAUGAUUAAUGACCAGCUUUAUAUUCUUUUAGCAAUAUCCUUGAAUUAUGGUCAUGGUCUUCCUUUUUUUGGAUUCUGUCUUCUCGUUUGGCUAAGUACGGCUUUGUUGUAUCAUUUUUCACUGGAAACCAAAGGCAAGACUUUCAUAGAGAUUCAGAGAGAACUUCAAGAUUGAAAGUUAACUCAUUUUCUUGAUUAUUCUUUUCUAUUGAUUGUUUAACUCUUGAUUGUAUUAUUAAUAUGAGAAUAAAUUUCUGAAGCACUUAUACAGGAUCGUGUUGUUCGAAAUGACGGCAGCGGUUCCUAAACUUUCUUUGUUCUGGCGUCAUUAUUAAAUCCAAGUUUUCUUAAGGUGAUCUAUGUCCAUAUCAGACAGUUGUUUUCUUAAAACUGUUAAAUAAAAAUAUAUAAAUAGUUUUAACGAAAAAAAUAAUUAAUUUUAAGUUAAUUUGAAAUGAGAUUCGGUGACUUAUAUUGCACAAUAAGUUCGCAUGUAAAUAGUUUGUAGUAAAAGGUGAAUCAAUUUUGGGAGAAAAUUGGUGAAAACACGAUCGAUAAGAUUAUAUUAAUUCAUCCGCAAUCUGUGUGUAAUACAUUACAAUCCGACGAGUUAUUCGGGAGCGACGAAAUUAAAGCACGAAAAACUAACGGCCGUUGUUUUUGUAAAUAAUCUGACGGAACUGCUUGUGUUUGAGAGAUUACUUUCAGAUCGUCAACAGCCAUAUCGCGCUGAGAGUACUAGUUUUAGUCCGAUCACUAAAGUCAAACAUCUCUUGGCACGGUUAGUAGUUCGAUGGAUGACCGCUUGGGAACACCGUGUGUUGUUGCCAUAAAUAAACAAAAAAAAAAUAUUCGACGGCCAUGGCGCGGUGACAGCACUAGCUUCCGCUCGAUCAUCUGGUCCCAAGCCCAGACAAAGGAGGAGAUUUCAGAGGCGAGGCUAGAAACCUACCCUCGGUAAAGAACAAUAAAAAUGCUCCUGGAAUUAGCAAUAUAGCCUCGGAUUGGACGGAAAUAAUGAUGAUGACAGCACAAGCAAAUAGGAAUGUGCAAA
rnacentral:lncRNA from 1 species